AGAUUGAACGCUGGCGGCAGGCCUAACACAUGCAAGUCGAGCGGCAGCACGGGUACUUGUACCUGGUGGCGAGCGGCGGACGGGUGAGUAAUGCCUAGGAAUCUGCCUGAUAGUGGGGGAUAACGCUCGGAAACGGACGCUAAUACCGCAUACGUCCUACGGGAGAAAGCAGGGGACCUUCGGGCCUUGCGCUAUCAGAUGAGCCUAGGUCGGAUUAGCUAGUUGGUGGGGUAAUGGCUCACCAAGGCGACGAUCCGUAACUGGUCUGAGAGGAUGAUCAGUCACACUGGAACUGAGACACGGUCCAGACUCCUACGGGAGGCAGCAGUGGGGAAUAUUGGACAAUGGGCGAAAGCCUGAUCCAGCCAUGCCGCGUGUGUGAAAGAAGGUCUUCGGAUUGUAAACGCUAACUUUAAAGGUUAGGAAGGAAGGCAAGUUCGACCUAAUACGUAUCUAGUUUUGACGUUACCGACAGAAAUAAGCACCGGCUAACU
rnacentral:rRNA from 1 species